UCGUUUCUAUUUUACAUUUAUAUACUAUAAUUUACAAUAACAAAGGCAGGUUUUAGGAGAACUUGUAGACAGGACUUAUCUAGUUCUGAUUACCCCUAUAUUUUACGAUCGAUCAAGUGAAAUUUCUCCGAAGGAAAGGUAAUUCUCGAGAAUCGCUCUCAUCACGUAAGCAUCGAAAUUAGUAAGACUACUUAUUAUUUUAUUCUCACGUAUAAUCUCAUACGAUUAAUUGUUGAUUAUUGUCUAUUCUACAGCAUGCAAGAAUAUAAGGAUUGUUAUUCGGCAAACUUUCGCGAGGUUUGUUUUCGAACUUUCCUGACGGUUUUGUUGACACUAUUUCGAGAUCCCUACAAUAAAUCGCAAUACACUUGGCGAUUCCACGCGGUGGUCUAAAAAUAAUAGUCGAUAGAAGCGAUGAAAGUCGAAUUGAUAAUAUAGUUGACAGCGUUAUCGUAGAAUUUUGGAACAGCGAAAAACUAUCUCGAACUAUCGUUACAAUAUAUAUGUGUGUAUGUAUAUCUGUAUAUAUUAAUUCGGUUUAUUGAAUUGAGGCCACACGUUCUUCGAGGAGGCGGCCUUGGCCUGCUCCUUCAAGAUUCUCGCUUGCUCCUGUAUUUCUUGUUUCUGUUUCACGAAGGAAAAGUCUAUGAAAAUGCUGGAAAAUAAAUAAACCGCACGCUACACGGCGAAUUAGACGUUUUCUUUAUAUUUUCAAGUGAAAUCUUUUCUCGAUACUUACGGUAUAGCGGACGCCUGGCAUUUAAUAGUGUCAGCGAUAUUCUGUUCGGAGUAGAGGCCAAUCGGUGAAUUGAACUGCUUGUGGACUACCUACGGAAUCAAAUGAAACGAAACGAUGAGAGGAAAGGUUGCAAAUCGAUUGCAAAUUAAUCACAAUGGAGCUGGGGCUCCAAAGAUUCGUUACGCAUUCUUAAGUUACGCCACUGUGUCUUAAGUUAAUUCUUAACUCCUCUGAAGUAAGUCAUAAAUUUACUGUUAGACGCAUUUAAAGUAUUCGUCGUCCUUCGGAACGUUGCAGUCUCAUCAGAUAAUUUUGUAUAAAUAAACAGAAGUACAUACGCCCUUUAUUAAAAACCGAUCGUCUAAUCGUUGACGGGCGGGUUAAUCAUUAGCAAAAUAUCGAUAGCAUGCUAUAUUAUCGUCGGCACUCGCAACCAUAGACAUUUCGAUGCGGAAGCGUCGUUUGUGGAAGCGGAAGCGAUUCAUGAAUAAAGUGGUCCAAACCUUUGGAACUUCAUUCGGUCCCAAGACACGUUGAAGUACCGAUUCCGCCACCUAGUCGGACAUUUUAUGAAACACAUAUAUAUUUACAAGUUAAGUAUUCUUAAUUCUCUCAGUCUUUCAUUCUGUAAUUCUUUUAUAUUCUUAAGAGAUUAAAACCAACAUUUUCGCGACAAGACAAGCUAUUCCUCUUUGUGAAAAUGUAAAAGUUUGCUCGUAGAAUAUGACUUUAUUAUUUUUCUUCAGUUUAGUGGUCUUAAUAUUCGUUAA